UGUCUACGGCCAUACCACCCUGAACAUGCCCAUCUCAUCUGAUCUCGGAUGCUAAGGAAGGUCGGGCCUGGUUAGUACGUGGAUGGGAGAUUUUCCUCAGUCCCUGUAACAA
rnacentral:rRNA from 1 species